rnacentral:rRNA from 1 species
UACGAGAGGCCCAAACGUUAUUCGGAAUUACUGGGCUUAAAGGGUGCGUAGGCGGCGCGGAAAGUUGGGUGUGAAAUCCCUCGGCUCAACCGAGGAACUGCGCCCAAUACUACCGUGCUUGAGGGAGAUAGAGGUGAGCGGAACUUAGGGUGGAGCGGUGAAAUGCGUUGAUAUCCUAAGGAACACCGGUGGCGAAAGCGGCUCACUGGAUCUCUUCUGACGCUGAGGCACGAAAGCUAGGGUAGCGAACGGG